rnacentral:rRNA from 1 species
CAGGACGAACGCUGGCGGCAUGCCUAACACAUGCAAGUCGAACGGGGGUAGCAAUACCCUAGUGGCGAACGGGUGAGUAACACAUAAGCAAUCUGCCCUUCACAGGGGGAUAACAGCGGGAAACUGCUGCUAAUACCGCAUAAGACCACGGUACCGCAUGGUACAGGGGUAAAAACGAAUCAGUGGUGAAGGAUGAGCUUAUGUCCCAUUAGCUAGUUGGUGAGAUAACAGCCCACCAAGGCGACGAUGGGUAGCCGACCUGAGAGGGUGAUCGGCCACACUGGAACUGAGACACGGUCCAGACUCCUACGGGAGGCAGCAGUGGGGAAUAUUGGGCAAUGGAGGAAAAACCUCUUACCCAGCAAUGCCGCGUGAGUGAAGAAGGUCUUCGGAUUGUAAAGCUCUUUGAUUGGGGACGAAGAAAGUGACGGUACCCAAAGAACAAGCCCCGGCUAACUACGUGCCAGCAGCCGC